GGAGUCACUUUCUCUGACAAAAGCGCAGGCUUGAAUAAUAAGUAACGGGGUACAAAAAAGUUGGGCGUCGUGUUGUUUUCACUAAACACCGACUAAAAAGUGUUGAAGAGUAUUGUAGACCUAAAGAUUAUUGAAGAUUUCUGACAUCACAAUAACAUCCUACAGUUAUGACAGAUGAAGAAACAGCCCUGGAGACGGUGGAAGAUCCGUCUGAAAGCAACGUGCCCCGCUCAGCGGGUCCCCUUGUGGAAGUAACGUUUCAGAGGAAUCCUCAACAAAAACUAAAGUUCCUGGAGUCUGAACCCAAAGCAUUAGGGAUCACUCAGAUUGCCCUCGGUGUGUUUCAUGUUGGUUGCAUCAUUGUCAUGUUGACUAACGGCAUGGGUGUGUUGUCUCGCGAAGCGUUUCAAAUCUUUGGAUCACAUUUGACUGGGCAGCCUCGAAUGCUGUGAAACUUCCUGUACAGCAUUGGCAUAUUGAAACCACAUCCCUGCCCCAGACAGCUGGUGAAUAACUGGUUAUCAUAGCCGGCAGUUUGGCCAUAGCUGCGCAGAAUCUCCGUCUUACAACACUAAAGGCAUGCCUGGGGAUGCAGGUGGUGGCCUGUGCAGUAUCAAUGUUCAACUUGUUUUUUUCUAUGGAGGCUUUCUCGACCUACCAUAUCUACAGUCCAUGCUGGCAUUAUGAGUACAACAUCACCACCGAAAUCUGCUAUUCAAUCGUGGAGUCUUCUGGACAUUUUAUUCAUACAUUUGCUUUGGUAAAUACUGCCAUCAUCGCCAUUUCCAUCACACUGGCCAUCUACUGCUGCAAAGUGGUCAACUGCUGCUUCCCGGCACCAAGAAUGCCGAUCAUCACAGUGCAAGCCCCUCCAGUUCAGUGAUGAGGAGAGAUACCUUGUGAGAUAUCCAGCGUGCUAACCAACCACCUGAAACGUGUGUCAAUAAUACCAUGCCUAACAAAAAUAUACCAUGGUACAACUACUAAUACUAUUACUACUACUACUUCAUGAAUCAUUCGUUUGGUUUUAGCCUUUAUCAAUUGUACCUGAAAAUAACUCUGAUAUUUAUACCAGGGAUUCGGUACACUUCCUCCCACAAAAAACUAAUUGCAUCAUAUUUUGUGAGACCGGAAGGUAUUUUCUCUGUUUUUGCAUAUUUGCCACACUGAAUGGUGUCCGAUUCAGAACCAGAGUAAACAAAAACAUACUUUUUUUUUAAGGGAAAAGGUUCUCCUACACCAAUUGGCCCUGUGUAAAAAAAGGUAUUGUACUCAUAUACAAUGGUAACAGCACAAUUUAAAUAUCUAGUAGUGCAUGUACAUGGCCAAAUAAAAUUUGUGUAGAACAUUUUA